rnacentral:rRNA from 1 species
UACGAAGGGGGCUAGCGUUGCUCGGAAUGACUGGGCGUAAAGGGCGCGUAGGCGGUUUGUACAGUCAGGUGUGAAAUUCCCGGGCUCAACCUGGGGGCUGCACUUGAUACGUAUGGACUGGAGUGGGGAAGAGGGUCGUGGAAUUCCCAGUGUAGAGGUGAAAUUCGUAGAUAUUGGGAAGAACACCGGUGGCGAAGGCGGCGACCUGGUCCUUGACUGACGCUGAGGCGCAAAAGCGUGGGGAGCAAACAGG